UACGGGGGGGGCAAGCGUUGUUCGGAAUUACUGGGCGUAAAGCGCGCGCAGGCGGUCCUUUUAAGUCUGAUGUGAAAGCCCACGGCUCAACCGUGGAGGGUCAUUGGAAACUGGGGGACUUGAGUGCAGGAGAGAAGAGUGGAAUUCCACGUGUAGCGGUGAAAUGCGUAGAUAUCGAGAGGAACACCUGCGGCGAAGGCGGGUUGCUGGGCUGAUACUGACGCUGAGGCGCGAAAGCCAGGGGAGCGAACGGG
rnacentral:rRNA from 1 species